UAUUAGCUAGAAUGUUAAUUUUUGUUUUGUUUUAUGAGUUCAAGUGUUUUGAUUUAAUUGAUCACUACAUUUUGAAAAAAUAUUUUUUAUUUGUAUGCAUUUACUUACAUAAUACACUAAGAUGGAUAUAAAAUAAAGUCGUUUACAUAUGGAUACAUUGGCACUAUGCACGGGUGAGUUAGUUUUUGUGUGUAGGGUUAUGAACUCAAAAUAAAUUGCGCAUCAACUGGGGAAUUAUUUUGUAAGAGUUUUGAAACAAGAAACAAGUUAACAGUAUAACACCCUAGAGUAAAUCCUAUUCAUAUUUACUGUUGGGAAUGUGUUGCUCGCGUUUACUUUUUUUUCGUUAAUACAUGUCCAUAACGACCUCAUUUCAUCGCUUAGGUAAACUACUGCAUAUUUACAUACAAUGCGUGAAUUCUCAUUGGUUACUAUCGAUGUUAAUGUACCGCUUUACUCCGCCUGCAAGGCGGAGUACUAAUUGUGCUUCCAGAACAGAGAACGAUCGAAAUUGUCGGCAAAAUGAUACUCGCUUUCAUCUUUAUAUCUAACCCUUAAUUGUUUGGAGUGAAUGCCCAUGUAUGCUAGUUGACUGGAUAAGCUUUCACAUCAGUGGAUCAUGAUAAUAAACCGAUAUUUUAAAAGCGUCAUCGGCAACUUUAUGCGUGUAAAUAUUGGAAGUGUUACACUGUUACGGUUAUUUCAUAAUUUCAAAGCUAUGUAUAAUACACAUUCAACCAUUUAACUUAAUAUAUAAAAAAAAUAUUAUUAUUUCAUUUUGCCCCUUGGGUAAAAUUUGACUACCCGGGGGUCACGAAACUGAACAAACACUUAUAUGGGGCCUAUUUUGGUGAAAACUUAAAAAAUAUUCUUGUCCAUAACCAUUGGGCCUAGGGCUACCAAAUGUGGUAUGUAGUGACAUCUAAAAAAUCUCUACCAAAUUUGUUCAAAUAAUGCCCAUGGGGUCAACUUUGAUCCUGCCCUGGGGGGUCACAAAAUUGAAUAAACGCCUAUAAAGCGCCUAUUUUGUGAUAUCUUAAAACACCUUCUUGUUGAAAAGCAUUCAGACUAUGGCUACCAAAUUUGGUAUGCAGUAACAUCUUACAGUCCUCUACCAAGUUUGUUCAAAUUAUGCCCUUUGGGUCAAAUUUGACCCUGACCCGCGGGUCACAAAAUUGAACAUUAUAUACGCUUAUAUCUUGCUUAUUUUGUGAAAACUUUUAAAAUAUUUUUGUCCUUAACUCUAGGACCUAGGGCUACCAUAUUUUGUAUGUACAUGUAGUGAGAUAUAGUAGUCCUCUACAAAGUUUGCUCAAAUUAUGCCCCUGGGAUUAAAUUUGACCAAGCCCAGGGGGUCACAAAAGUGUACAUGUGCUUAAAUUGGGCCUAUAUUUAAGUAUUUGCACAUACAAAGAAUAUUUGUUUCAGCCUUUUUUCAGCAGUGGAGCUAUACAGGGCCAUCAUGGCCCUCUUGUUUUUGAAUACUGAAGAACAGUUGUUACAGGUUAAACCGCAAGGUAAAAUUAACAUUGAUCGGAAGUUCCUUUGGAAAGAAAGAAGUGCAUCAUUGCCUGCCAAAGAAGGGAGCAAAAGAGGGACUACCUGAUGUAUCAACUUUUAUAACAGGUUUUACACUGCACGAGCAGGCCAACUUGAGAAGAUCAGGAGUGGGAAAACCGCGCACUGUCCCUGACCAAGAAAAGCUGGAUUUGUUGAGAAGGACCUGUUCUCAAAUGAGAUCAUGCACGAGAUGCACCUCCCAAGGCCAAGACAGUAGUUUUCAGACCUGAUCAGCUGGUGACUUCUCUAUGAAGGGUCGUUCAACCUGCCCUUAGGGGGAGAUUGAGAGGGUUUCCCGAUUGCCGAACGCUGUGCCAAAAUGUCAUCUCCAAAAAGUUUGCUCUGCCCAUAUCGACAGUGGCAGAAAAUAUGAGGUGGGCCUUGCGGAGGCUUCGUGUGAUGUACAGCGCGGAGAAUUUAUGAGAUUAAUUGUGUAGUGCUGAGCAACUUUGUUGCGUUUCUUGAUAUAGGUGUAAAUAUGUGUAAAGGGCUAUCCCAGGAAAAAAUAUGAUGAAAGAUUCCUUAAUAGCUUCAUUUUUCAUAUCCGGUACCACCAACACAGUUAAACACAAUUGUUAUUAAUUUUAUCCUCUUUUUCACCCCUCAAAAACUGAAACUGUAUACAUCAUGGUUGAUACCCUUCCUCCCAUUUUUACCUGGGGUAGCCCUGAGAUAAUUUUUUUUAUUUAUUUUAAUUUAUUAUGUUAAAGGUGCUGUAAUAUUGUGAUAAUGUAUCUUGGGUAGAUGUUUUCCUGGUUUUGUUAAAAAUGCACUGUAAAAAUGUUCAAAUUAUUUGUUUUUAGCUCCACUGGCCAGAGGCCAGCGGGGCUUAUGUCAUGGUCAUGUGUCCCUCAUGCGUGCGUGCGUCAGUUAACUUUUUCUUUAAACAUCUUCUUCUCCUUAAGUACAAGUCCAAUUCUGAUAAAACUUCUCGCAAAUGUUUCUGGGGUGAACCUCUUUCAAAUUUGUUCAAAUUAUGCCCCUCGGGUCAAAUUUGACCCCGCCCCAGGGGUCAAUAAAUUGAACAUAUGCUUAUAUAAAGCCUAUUUUUUGCAAACUUUAAAACUUCUUGUCCAUAACCGUAGGGCCUUAUAGGGCUACCAAAUUCGGUAUGUAGUGACAUCUAAUAGUUCUCUACUUAGUUUGUUCAAAUUAUAACCCUGGGGUAAAAUUUGACCCUGCCCCGGGGGUCACAAAAAUGAACAUACGCUUAAAUAAGACCUAUUUUGUGCAAACUUAAAAAAAAUUCUUGUCCAUAACCGUAUGGCAUAGGGCUUCCAAAUUUGAUAUGUAGGGACAUCUAAUAGUCCUCUACCAAGUUUGUUCAAAUUAAGCCCCUGGAAUCAAAUUUGACUGUUCCCCAGGGGUCACAAAAUUAAACAUAUGCUUAUAUUGGGCCUAUUCUGUGCAAACUUUAAAAAAAUCUUGUCCAUAAACAUUUCUACCAAAUUUGGUAUGUAUUAAAAUCUUAAAGUUC